GACAUUUUUUAAGCAUGUUGAUGUCGUUGUGAGAACCCCGCGUUCCAAAAAACAUGCCAAAUCCAUAUCAUGUGAUGCCACUGCUUGUAGUACAAUGGUAGCCUCUUUGGUGUGAUCUUAAUACAUUCCCCCGCAAACCUUUGGGGUAGUUCUUCCAUUGUGAAUGCAUACAAUCAAUUGGUCUGGGCAUUCCUCGAAACCCUCCCGCCUCUCUAAUUGCUAACAACAUUUAUGAUUCAUGCAUAUUUGGUUCUCUCAAAUACUUUGUUCCAAACACCUGCACCAUGGUGCAAGCAAAGUUGACAGUAAUAUUUAGGCAUGUGUUCUCCCCCAUCCGG
rnacentral:lncRNA from 1 species